GCAGGUUUCUGCAUGUUUGUGCUGAGCUUGGUGAAGAAACAUUAUCGACUGCAGUUUUACAUGUUCGCAUGGACUCAUGUCACUUUACUGAUAACAGUUACUCAGUCACAUCUUGUCAUCCAAAAUCUGUUUGAAGGCAUGAUAUGGUUCCUUGUUCCAAUAUCAAGUGUUAUCUGCAAUGACAUAACUGCUUACCUUUUUGGAUUUUUUUUUGGGAGAACUCC